CCUACGGGUGGCAGCAGUGGGGAAUAUUGGGCAAUGGGCGCAAGCCUGACCCAGCAACGCCGCGUGAAGGAAGAAGGCUUUCGGGUUGUAAACUUCUUUUGUCAGGGACGAAGCAAGUAACGGUACCUGACGAAUAAGCCACGGUUAACUACGUGCCAGCAGUGGCGGUAAUACGUCGGUGGCAAGCGUUAUCCGGAUUUACUGGGUGUAAAGGGCGUGUAGGCGGGACUGCAAGUCAGAUGUGAAAACCACGGGCUCAACCUGUGGCCUGCAUUUGACACUGUAGUUCUUGAGUGCUGGAGAGGCAGACGGAAUUCCUAGUGUAGCGGUGAAAUGCGUAGAUAUUAGGAGGAACACCAGUGGCGAAGGCGGUCUGCUGGACAGCAACUGACGCUGAGGCGCGAAAGCGUGGGGAGCAAACAGGAUUAGAUACCCCAGUAGUC
rnacentral:rRNA from 1 species